rnacentral:lncRNA from 1 species
GUUACAAAUAAUUUUUACUCUAUUCCAAGUAAUUGAUUGCAAGAAAUCUAAGAAAUCUCACUGGAUGUAAAACUCUACUUUUUGAGACACUGACCCAAUUAAACAUCAAUAAUCUUCGAUCCAAUCCUUUGAUCAAGCUUAAACUCACAGCAUAUAUUAAACACAUAUUAAUCCACAAGCCUUCAAAAUUUCACUUAUGGACCUAUUGCCAAACUUACAAAUUUCUCCAAAAAGUAUCUGAUUUUAUUUCACAAAUCUUUAGUCACCCAAAAAAAACCAUGACUUUGCAAAGCUCUUAUAAAAUCAAUACAUACUCAAAUCACCUUAAAUCAAUGGCUAUCAGUACUCUAUCAAGUUUGCUCU